GUGCUUGCUACAGCUGCACGUACACUAAAAUUGCCUCGAUACAGAGAAGGUUAGCAUGGCCCCUGCGAAAGGACCACACGCUAAUCCGUGAAACACUCCAUAUUUUG
ensembl:snRNA U6 U6 spliceosomal RNA